rnacentral:tRNA from 1 species
AGGGCCAUGGCUCAGUGGUAGAACAUCUGCUUGGCAUGCAGGGAGUUCCAGAUUCAAUUUCUGAUGUCUCUA